rnacentral:tRNA from 1 species
GCGGGGGUGCCGGAGUCUGGAAAACGGGCAGGACUUAAGAUCCUGUGGCUUAGUGCCUACGAGGGUUCAAAUCCCUUCCCCCGCA